GAUAACGAGAGAGAGAGAGACGUGAAUAACGGUUCAAAAAGCAUUAAAUCCGGUUAAGAUGGAAAUUUUUUCAGCAGUCACGUACGUAGUUAAGGAACAAUACACACAUUGGCUGGCGUAGUGGCGUGUCGCGAAUCGUGUGUGAGUAAUUUCAAACUGCGUGUGUUUGUUUAACAGCGUCUCCGUCUUGACUAUUUGUGUCGUCUUUAAUAAUCGAUUCUGUGCAAUAAGGUCCAAGAUCGGCUUUACCGUUGACGUAUCCAGAAAAAGUCAUGUUUGUGUAUAAACACAGAGAAUCUAUGUGCUAUAGACAAUUGAAGGGCUACAUUCCAAAACGCACUAUUGCCAUUUUUAUCGAAAUCGAGUUAGAUAUCGAUUCUUAUGGUAAAUAUGCUGAGAAAUAUGAAUUUGGAAUUGUUUUUUCGAUAUCACGAUUAUUUUUUCAGUGGUAUCGAUCUUAAAUUCGGUAUUUGUUUCAAAACGUGCUAUCGCCUAUAUUAUUAGUUUUCAAAACGUUCUAUUGCCACUUUGUUCCAUAACGUGCUAUUGCCCAUAAUAUAAAUAUAGAACUCAACUAGUUGUUACGUCAAAACGUCCCAUUGCCAUAUAUUAUUCCAAAACGCGUUAUUGCCAAUCUCAAAGCAAAACGUACUAUUUCCCAUACUAAUUACAUAGGACAUAAAUUCUCUAUUUUCCAAAACGCGCUAUUACUUUUUGAUAAUUUUAACAUAAAAUUAAUUUCGAUUUUACUUUGUUUAAAUAAAUUUGAGUAUUAAAUUUGUAAAUACGAUUAAUUCCAAUUUUAUGUUCAUAACUUUAUCAACUCGAUGAAAAAAAAAAAUCAUUCCUAACUUCAUUUGAUGAUAAAAAAAAAGUGUUGUUAAUUUGGCUGUUUACCGCCAAAAGUUCAUUGAUAACGUAUUAUGCAUAAUAUUGCAUUAACUUAUCACAAAGGAUAAAAAACUGAUGAAAAAUAAUUUAUUAGUUUUUGAAAUACCUUUAAAUAAAGAAAAAGAUUUUCAAAAUGAAUCGUCGCUCCAAAAAACUUGUACUUGCUGCUAUAAGUGAAGUCAUCUAAAAAAAGAACGGAACAUGUGUGAUUCGCAAUAAGGGAUUAUUCUGGGCAUUUACACUUCAUAGACUUUCAAGAAAUGCUGUAUCUAUGUUUUCUACACCUUGUGUAGAUAUAUUGUUGGGUAUGAAUUCAGUGGCCUUAAAUCCCAGAUAGUUGUAAAUUACAUGAAUGUUUGUUCAACAAAAAAUGUUUAUUCAACGAUCUACAUUAUCUGAAAAAUGCAAGCAAAUUAACAUUUAAAAUUAUAUGCAUUUUAUUUAUAAAUUAUGUGAUGGUAAAAUAUAAACAAAAAACUAUGGCAAUUGUAAAAGGGCUGAGGAUACUUGUAGCUACAUUAUACCUGUGAAUAGUAAUUUAUCUAGUGUUUCACAUAAUAUAAUGAUGGAAAAAAAAAUUUUUAAGGAUGAUGUUUAGAGUUUGAAAGAAAAACAUAAAGUUUUAGAGUAAUAAUUUAUUUAGUAAAAGACUAUUUAACAACAUUGGCUACCAUUUGGCAAAAUCCAAAUCCUCAAAAAUGUUGGUGUCCAGAUAAAAUUAUAAAAUUAUUACUUACCCUCAAUAAGUAUAUGUUUAUUCAGUCAUCCUUGAAUUAAUACAUAAGCAGGCGAUAAACAAACUUAAUAUUUAGAUUUAAAAAAUGAGCAUGUGCUCUUCGUUAUAGUGAACAUUCACAAUAACUUAUUUUUACCAAAAACUGGAGAAACUAUAGCUGAAGCUGCUUUGUUAAUGCUUGUUGUAAAAAUCUAUGUAUUGGUUAAUUAUUUAUAUUGUUAUUAAUUCAUAUUUUUUUUUACUGUGGAACAAAUAAAGUUUAGUCAUACCAAAAUUUGGUAACAUCUCCAUUACUAUUACUCAAAGCUAUUACAGGAACAUAUUUAUUAACACACAAAUAUUCAUUACAAAGGGAUUCUAGUCUGAUUUAAUUGGUUGAUUUAUGU